GAGUUCUCCCUGAGACUUUAGGUCUCCUGAAGGAACGUUGAAGACGACGACGUUGAUAGGCCGGGUGUGUAAGCGCAGCGAUGCGUUGAGCUAACCGGUACUAAUGAACCGUGAGGCUUAACCUUACAACGCCGAAG
rnacentral:rRNA from 6 species